AAUUUAAUCUAAAUUACAACACACUAAUUGAUUAUUAUUUAGAAAUGUAUUAGCACGGAUACCUGGUAUUGUAUUUUCUUUUUUUAAAAAUCAGAAAACAUAGAAAUCGGAACAACGGUAAAUGGACUCAUUUUAAAUUUUCAACAUAGAUUGCUGCCUACAUAAUUCAUUGUACAAUAUAAAAUUAAAGAUAAUUUGAAUACAAUAGUAUUUUUAAUUGUACACAUAUUGCAAAUUAUUCAGUACCUAGUAAUUUCAAUAACACUACAAUAUUUUUAAACUAUUAUUAAGCAUACAUACACGACGGGUGUUUUCUGCGAGAAAACUGAAUUUAUUAGGAUGGAAAUAUUAUUUGUUUAGCAUUUGCUGUGCACGCAACGAUGAUCUUUUGACUAGUUAAUAUACAAAAAAUUGUAAGAUGAAGGGAAUCAGCUUUCUUUUUGUCAGGGCUGGCAGUAAGACUCACAAACCAACGACCAACGGUUUUGAGAGGAAUCGGUUAAGAUUAAUUUUAAGUCAAAUAUAACAAUAAUAGGUCUCUACGAUUAUUUUUAACUGAAUAACAACCAAAAAAUUAAAUUAAAAAUUUGAGUGUUGAAUUUUUAGAUUCCCAUCAACUCGUUGACGAGAUAUCCACUUUCAAGUUCAGGUAGGUGGAGAAUAGUGGAUCACUAUUCAAAUGUCGCGUGCUACACCGCCACACAACCACUACUCUCCUCCUAAUACUGUAUAUGAAACUCAUAUCGGUGAAGUAUAAAAUAUUGUUUAUCAAUUAUUCGUGUUAUUUUUCUUUGCAGUACCUACCUGAUAAUAUUAAUCAACUGAUAAAUUUACAUAUUUGAUUAAAAAAAGUUUCACUUAAGAAUUUGGGAAAUUCGUUUUUAAAUUAUACGUCUAAUAUGCAAAUGAUACACGCGAUACAUUUCGCAAUUUUUCAAAAUUAUAGAUUAGAACUGCUUGUCAGACAAGACAAAUUUUGCUAUAGAAGUGUUGCACACACCGAAAUCGGCAUUGAUGACUGUUUAUCCUUACAUUGUACAAGCAAUGCAAAAGAACACAUAUGAUGUGUGAAUCCAACAAGAGGCGCUUACGAAAAAAAAAUAUAAAUCCGAAGGAAAAGUCUAUAACAUACUUUUUAUGCUGAAAAAUGAGUUAAAUAUAAAAAAUGUUUGAUUAGGGUUAAAUGCAAUUAUUACCAUUAUAUGUAUUUACAGAUUAAUACAAAAGUACGUAUAUUAUGUAUAAAGCUUUAACUUAACAUUAACAACAAAAAGUUAAACUUGUCUGCCAAAAGAUAUAUUCGUAUUUGUUUUCUGGAUGAUUAAUAAUCGUCCUCAUGCCCAUCAUCAUUUGACAAAGGAUAAUAUUAUCAUAUUUUGUUUUAGCCACGCUUUUGAUAUUCCUUCCUAUGUAUAUAAUAUAAUAUAAUAUCUUAACACCCCUAUCAAUUUCUCAAUGUUCCCCCCCACGCAUAAUGAUGCAAAAUAAAUGUAGAAUUAUUAUGUUAUCCAAAUAAAUUAC